rnacentral:snoRNA from 1 species
UGGUUGUGAUGAGGACAAUCUCUGAGCAGCCCCUUGAACCUCUCCCAAGCCGAAUAUAAUGACUCCCCUGAUUUCUGUUUAGAGGCUACUAUCUCACUUCUUAUCUU